GCCUAACCCUCGGAUGCCUGGCCUAGCGCCGGAAGAAUUUCCUGAGGCCUAACCCUCGGAUGCCUGGCCUAGCGCCGGAAGAAUUCCCUGAGGCCUAACCCUCGGAUGCCCGGCCUAGCGCCGGAGGAACUUCAAGAGUCAGGAGUCGGCGAGACGCUACCAAGGGUUAAAAAGAGGAAGGACGAAAGUGAAAUGAGGAAACACUUUGUUUGCAUUAACUUUCGUUGCAUCAGGGCCGAG
rnacentral:lncRNA from 1 species